UUCUCCCUGAGCAUGCGCAGUGCUGUUCUGUGACCGGAGCCGCAGGGAGCAGGUGAAAAGAUGGCGUCUCCAGCAGAAUAACAGAGUUAGUGGCUACUCCCCAAGGCUUCUGAUACCUUUCCAGCUGCAGGCUCCCCACAGGGAAUUUUAAAUUCGAUAACACAAUGUGACAUUUGCACUUCCCCAGGCCUUGAAUGAUAUUCUGCAAAAUGAGCCACUGUGGAGAAAGAGAUGAAAAUUGGGACGAAUUGCUGCAAGAUUGUUAAUAUAUCUGUGAACUGUUGAAUGACCUGCUAAUGUGCUAUGUUAUUUUUGUGAUUCUAAUGUCCGAUCAAUUUCUCUGCCGCAUGGCUGUUUUUCAGCCGAAUUGUACUUCCAUACAACAAGGUCCUGAAGUGCAAUAAGACUUCAUGGUUUGAUAUUCUAAGUCAGUCCCUGUCGUUCUACACAUUAUUUCCGUAGUGUAAUUUUUAAUCACAUGCAUGCGAAAGUACUCAGGCUGGAACCGGGAAGAAACAUUAUCUAAGCUUACUUGGCUAAGUAUGAGGAAAAUUCCAGAAUUCACGCUUGUUGGUGACUAUUAACUAUACAUAGUAUGUGACAGCCAGAUGACAUGUUCUCUGUCCUCUGUCUCAAAACACAUUCAGCAAAAUUGGAAAAGACUGAAUUUGACUGUGCACAAGUUUAUUCAGUCAACAACAGGAAUUAAUAGGGUUACAAAUUGAAAUUAACAAUUACUUCACAUCUCAAGUUAUAUAUUAGUGUGGUUCUAAAGACAGACGCAAGCAAUACUAUGAUUGAACAUGAUGAAUUGGCAGAGAUGGUAUAUAAUUCCUUUGCAUCAGUCUUUAUGAUAGAUCUUUAUUCCUUCAUGAGCAUCGCUGGCCAGCAUUUGUUGUCCAUCUGCAAUUGCCCUGCUGAGUGACUUGCUGGACAAUUUCCAAGGGAAGUUUAGAUACAACCACAUUGCAGUGCAUCUGGAGUCACAUGUAGGCCAGGGAAGGACGACAGCAGAUUUACUUCCAGAAAGGACUGGCGAACCAGAUGGGUUUUUACAACAGUCAAUGAUUGUUGCAUGGUCACCAUUGCUGAGAAAAUACUGGAGACAUGCUUGAUCAGGAUAGAUAUCUAUUGUAAAUUUGACAUGAAUUAAGUUGCUUAAAUAAAUAAUGUUUAUUUUGAAAAAUG